rnacentral:rRNA from 1 species
UACGUAGGGGGCAAGCGUUGUCCGGAAUUAUUGGGCGUAAAGGGCUCGUAGGCGGUUUGUCGCGUCUGCUGUGAAAACUCGGGGCUCAACUCCGAGCUUGCAGUGGGUACGGGCAGACUAGAGUGCGGGAGGGGCAAGCGGAAUUCCUGGUGUAGCGGUGAAAUGCGCAGAUAUCAGGAGGAACACCGGUGGCGAAGGCGGCUUGCUGGGCCAGUUCUGACGCUGAGGAGCGAAAGCGUGGGGAGCGAACAGG